UGGGGAAUUUUGGACAAUGGGCGAAAGCCUGAUCCAGCAAUGCCGCGUGUGUGAAGAAGGCCUUCGGGCUGUAAAGCACUUUUGUCCGGAAAGAAAUCCUUGGCUCUAAUACAGUCGGGGGAUGACGGUACCGGAAGAAUAAGCACCGGCUAACUACGUGCCAGCAGCCGCGGUAAUACGUAGGGUGCAAGCGUUAAUCGGAAUUACUGGGCGUAAAGCGUGCGCAGGCGGUUUGCUAAGACCGAUGUGAAAUCCCCGGGCUCAACCUGGGAACUGCAUUGGUGACUGGCAGGCUAGAGUAUGGCAGAGGGGGGUAGAAUUCCACGUGUAGCAGUGAAAUGCGUAGAGAUGUGGAGGAAUACCGAUGGCGAAGGCAGCCCCCUGGGCCAAUACUGACGCUCAUGCACGAAAGCGUGGGGAGCAAACAGGAUUCAGAUACCCUGGUAGUCCACGCCCUAAACGAUGUCAACUAGUUGUUGGGGACUUCAUUUCCUUAGUAACGUAGCUAACGCGUGAAGUUGACCGCCUGGGGAGUACGGUCG
rnacentral:rRNA from 1 species